GCUUAGAAGCAGCCACUCAUUUAAAGAGUGCGUAAUAGCUCACUGGUCGAGUGAUUGUGCGCCGAAAAUGUACCGGGGCUAAACCUGCCACCGAAGUCUUGGAAUUCAGUUUACUGGAUUGGUAGAGGAGCAUCGUGCAUGGGCUGAAGCAUGACCGGAAGGACAUGUGGACUGUGCACGAGAGAGAAUGCCGGCAUGAGUAGCGAGAGCAGAGUGAGAAUCUCUGCCGUCGAAAGCCUAAGGUUUCCUGAGGAAGGUUCGUCCCCUCAGGGUAAGUCAGGACCUAAGCCGAGGACGAAAGUCGUAGGCGAUGGACAACAGGUUGAUAUUCCUGUACCACCUUGACACGUUAUACGAUGCAGUGACACAGAAGGAUAGGCAAAGCGGGUUGAUGGUAGAACCCGUCCAAGCACUGAGGGUGCAGCGUAGUGAAGUACGCGCUGUGUAAGCCUGGGGUGUGAUGGGGACAGAAAAUAAGUAUGGAAGUUGCUGAAUUCACGCUGGCGAGAAAAGCUGCUAAGGAGUGUUAUUGGUGCCUGUACCGCAAACCGACACAGGUAGGCGAGGAGAGAAUCCUAAGACGAGCGGGAGAACCCUUGUUAAGGAACUCGGCAAAAUGACCCCGUAACUUUGGGAGAAGGGGUGCCUCGAAAGAGGCCGCAGUGAAUAGGCCCAAGCGACUGUUUAGCAAAAACACAGGUCUGUGCCAAGUCGAGAGACGAUGUAUACAGGCUGACGCCUGCCCAGUGCCGGAAGGUCAAGGGGAAGUGUUAGGGCAACCGAAGCACGGAACUUAAGCCCCGGUGAACGGCGGCCGUAACUAUAACGGUCCUAAGGUAGCGAAAUUCCUUGUCGGGUAAGUUCCGACCCGCACGAAUGGCGUAACGAUUUGGGCACUGUCUCAACAAGGGACCCGGCGAAAUUGUAGUAUGCGUGAAGAUGCGCAUUGCCCGCGAUAGGACGGAAAGACCCCGUAGAGCUUUACUGUAGCUUGGUAUUGGAUUUUGGCAGCGCUUGUACAGGAUAGGUGGGAGGCUAGGAAACGAGGACGCCAGUUUUCGUGGAGCCACCGUUGGGAUACCACUCUUGUGUUGCUGGAGUUCUAACGUCGCGCGGUUAUCCCGGUGACGGACAGUGCCAGGUGGGCAGUUUGACUGGGGCGGUCGCCUCCUAAAAGGUAACGGAGGCGCCCAAAGGU
rnacentral:rRNA from 1 species